UACGUAGGGUGCGAGCGUUGUCCGGAAUUAUUGGGCGUAAAGAGCUCGUAGGCGGUUUGUCGCGUCUGCUGUGAAAACUCAGGGCUUAACUCUGAGCUUGCAGUGGGUACGGGCAGACUAGAGUGCGGUAGGGGAGACUGGAAUUCCUGGUGUAGCGGUGAAAUGCGCAGAUAUCAGGAGGAACACCGGUGGCGAAGGCGGGUCUCUGGGCCGUAACUGACGCUGAGGAGCGAAAGCAUGGGGAGCGAACAGG
rnacentral:rRNA from 1 species